rnacentral:rRNA from 1 species
UACGUAGGGCGCAAGCGUUAUCCGGAAUUAUUGGGCGUAAAGAGCUCGUAGGCGGUUUGUCGCGUCUGCCGUGAAAGUCCGGGGCUCAACUCCGGAUCUGCGGUGGGUACGGGCAGACUAGAGUGAUGUAGGGGAGACUGGAAUUCCUGGUGUAGCGGUGGAAUGCGCAGAUAUCAGGAGGAACACCAAUAGCGAAGGCAGCUCGCUGGGACGUACUGACACUGAGGCGCGAAAGCGUGGGGAGCGAACAGG